UUCUUGCUCUAUGUUAAUGAUAUAAACGAACCUGAGAGCAAUACAAGAGUGAAAGAGUGUUGAUUUUCUUUGAUCACUCUCUUGUUUAUCAUUCAUCUAUUUUUCUUUUAGUGUCUUUUGUUAUGUCAUUGUUUCAGCUUCAACCCUUUAAUGGAAUAUCUCAGCUUGCAGUGGGGAAUCCAUUCCAGCAGAAAAAAUAUGGCAGAAGAACCUUCCUUUGUAGACCACAAGCUGUUGCUUCCAGAACACAGAGGAUAAUGGAGAGUGUUUCAGUGAGUGGAGAGGUUGGUGGUGCUGGGGGAGCAUACUCUUAUGAAGCCUUGAAAAGAUUAGACCAGAUAUGGUCUAACAUAUGCUCUGUUCAAGAAGUUGUGCAAGAACCUCAGCAAGUUGUCUCUACUGUUCGAAGCUCGUUUCGCUCGUCCGAUCUGGCCGACAAAGCACAAGGCUCAUAUGAUGUGUUGGUGUGUGGAGGCACUCUGGGGAUCUUCAUUGCAACAGCCUUGUGUGCUAAAGGCCUUAGAGUAGCCAUUGUAGAAAGGAAUGUAUUAAAAGGGAGGGAGCAAGAAUGGAACAUAUCAAGAAAGGAGCUUAUGGAACUAGUGGAAGUUGGAGUCCUGGAAGAAGAAGAUAUUGAUAGAGCCACAGCUGCAAAGUUCAAUCCAAAUAGAUGUGGCUUUGAAAGGAAAGGUGACAUCUGGGUUGAGGACAUUCUUAAUCUUGGUAUUUCACCUGUAAAGCUAAUUGAGAUUGUAAAGAAACGUUUUAUCUCCCUUGGUGGAGUCAUCUUUGAGGGUUGCAGUGUUGCCGGCAUUGAUGUAUAUGAGGAUGCUGCAGUUCUGAAACUUUCUGAGGACAAAAUCUUGUUAUCUCGUCUUAUAAUCGAUGCCAUGGGGAACUUUUCCCCUGUUGUAAAACAGAUAAGAUGCGGGAAGAAACCCGAUGGCAUUUGCCUUGUUGUUGGAACUUGCGCACGAGGCUUCGAGAAAAAUUCUAACAGUGAUGUCAUAUAUAGCAGUUCAUCAGUAAAGAAAGUAGGGAACUCAAAAGCACAAUACUUUUGGGAGGCAUUUCCAGCUGGAUCAGGUCCUUUGGAUCGCACCACUUACAUGUUCACUUAUGUAGAACCUCAACCGGGAUCACCAAAAUUGGAAGAAUUAUUGGAACAAUACUGGGAUCUGAUGCCAGAAUAUCAGGGUGUUUCGCUCGACGAUUUAGAGAUACUGAGAGUUAUUUAUGGCAUCUUUCCCACAUAUCGCGAGAGCCCUCUACCAUCAGCUUUUAAUAGAGUUUUACAGUUUGGUGAUGCUAGUGGCAUACAAUCACCAGUUUCAUUUGGUGGUUUUGGAAGCUUGACCAGGCACCUUGGAAGACUCUCAUCUGGAAUAUAUGAAGCAAUGAAUGGUGAUUAUCUUGAGUCACAAGACUUGUCUCUUCUGAAUCCAUACAUGCCAAACUUAAGUGCAUCAUGGCUGUUCCAAAGAGCAAUGUCAGCAAAAGAACACACCAAUGUUCCUGAAGAUUUCAUUAAUGAACUUCUUUAUACCAACUUUAAUUGUAUGCAGAGGCUUGGAGAUCCAGUACUAAGACCAUUUCUACAGGAUGUUGUUCAGUUUGGGCCACUCUCCAAGACAUUGGGACUAGUUAUGUUAACUAACCCUCAAAUUCUCCCUUCAAUAUUUAAACAGUCAAUGAAGUAAACACUAUCUUCAGGUUGGUGUUCCUGUGCUUCUUGACUGGUCCAAACACUUUCUGAUGCUUGGUUACUAUACUUUCCUCUCCACAUUUGCUGAUCCUGUUGUGAGGCCAUUCUUGAAUACAUUACCAUCGAAGACGAGUUUCCGGUGGAGGCGGCAUCUAGAGGCUUGGAAAUAUGGAGCUGGUCUUGAUUACAAGCUAUAAAGUAACUUCAAAGAUGCAAAAACAGAUAUGAAGUUGUCAAGAUUGUUUGCUUUUCCCUAACAUCCAAUUUCAGAAGUGGUGCUUGUCAAGAAUGUGCAUUUCAUUUCACUCACUCUUGAUCCUUGUAAAUGAAAAAUGGUGGAAUCUCUAAAAUUGGUCUUGAUUAGGAGGGUACUCAAUUCUUUACGUUAUUUAGGCUUUUUAUGAAUAUACUUCUGAGUUGUACCAUACAAAACAAUGAAUAUUCAUUUUGAAUAAAACAAGUUCCAAUUUGAUAUAUAACAA